GGGCGGAAUCCGGAAGCGCCUUCGCGCGGCUCGAGCCCGGCGGGGUCGUGGGGGUCGUGGGGCAGCAUGGCGGCGUCCAGGAGGCAGGUGUUUGUUGAAAAAGUGCUGAGGAGACUUUUUCCUAAAGUUCCGCAUGGCCAAGAAAAGGGGGCACCAAUGACUCUGGCCUCGGAAAUACCCCCUGAGAAAGUGGCGCCUGAGACGGUGACAGGCUGGAGCGCCCCUCCUUUGACAGUGUGGCUGGAUCUGAAAUACGAGUUAUUUAUUGAGAACCUAGUAUGUCAUACGUUGGAGAAAGAAGAGUGACUGUAUCGCGAUCCUUGCUCAUGUGGAGCCUGUAGGAAUUCUGCGUGUAACCUGGCUACAUCCUCUUCUUGUGAAAAUAGAAUAGGAAGAUGUUUCCUCUGGGAAGUGAUCUGUGGCGACCAUGGUCAAUGUAGGAAGACAGUCAGGUAAAGGGGACUUGGUAUGGUCGCUCUGCCUGCAGGAACGAUGAACCCCAUCUGUAAGAAGAGCACAGGAUGUGACUGGAGACUCAGGGAACAAAUCCGUGGCCUCAAGAGGGCUUCGGGUAAUGAGUGUGUCUUCAAACUAAGCAGCCAGUUCCGUCAGGUACCACGAGC
rnacentral:lncRNA from 1 species